GGGGGUGAACAGGGCUCGACGGGAAUAUUUGUUUGAUGUGUUGCAGACCGCAGUUAACCGAACGGCUGCGUUAAAAAUCGGUUAAACAAAAUAACUGCCAAUUAUUCACCGGUAGUUGCUCACGCUUAAACCGCGUUGAGCCGCCUUCCCGGUCUUUUUUCUGCGAGGUCGGGGUAAGGUGUCAUAAAGCAGGAUAGUUGUCGGCAAUGCUGCGUUACCGACGGCGAAAUUCAGCAGCUAGCGUUAAACAGAUUCUGUCGGCGGAAGCGGUUUAAUGCGAAAUAAAACACCGACUAUGUCUGUAGUAGCCGUCACACGUUAUUUUCGGACGCGGGUUCGAUUCCCGCCACCUCCAUUG
rnacentral:tmRNA from 1 species